rnacentral:rRNA from 1 species
UAUAUUAUGAUUAAGAGGAAGAAAUUUAUGUGCGUGCCUACAAAACAUAUGAGUGCGUGCCUGCAAAAUUAGUAUAAUUAAUAACUCAAAUUCAAUAUUCUAUGAUGACUGUGAUUUGGAAAAAGUAAGAAUAUUAGAUGAUAAUAAAAAUAAAGCAGGUGUAUAUUGUUGAAUAAAUAAUAUUAACUAUAAAUUAUAUGUAGGUAGCUCUAUUAAUUUAAGAACUAGAUUUUAUAAAUAUUAUAGUCUUAAACAUUUAAAUGAAAAUAGGACACCUAUUUAUAAUGCACUCUUAAAGUAUGGAUAUGGUAAUUUUUCAUUGGUAAUAUUAGAAUAUACCGGAGAAGGUACAAAUCCUAUAGAAAGAGAGCAACAUUAUUUAGACUUAUUGAAACCAGAAUACAACAUAUUAGAAAUAGCAGGUUCUAGUUUAGGUUAUAAACAUACAGAAGAAACUCUAAAGUAUUUUAAAGAAGAUCGAAUAAUUACAGAUGAAACUCGUGAAAACUUAAGUAUUGCAGCUAAAGAAAGAAUACUUCCGCAAGAAGUUAGAGAUAAAAUCUCUGAUAAACGUAAAGGUAUAAAACUUUCCGAGGCAACUCGUGCAAAGAUAUCAGAAUCAGCUAUAAUUUUAAGAGGAGUAAAAGUAAAUAUAACUAAUGUUGUGCAUACUUCGUCAGCCUCAAAUGAAGUAUUGUCGUUUGACAAUAUGACUACUGCAGCCAAACAUAUAGGUGUGAGUAGACCAGCCGUGGCCAAGGCUUUAAAUAAAGGUAGCCUUAUUAAAGGUGUUUUUAAAAUCAAUUAAUAAUAAUUGAUUAUAUUGUAUUUAUUAUUUGCUAAAUGGAUGAUUAAGUCUUUGUAGGGACUUAAUUGUUUAGGGAGAAGGACUUCAGCUUUAUCUAAAUUAGAUAGAAGAAGUAGAUUUGUUUCUGCGAAACCUAUAAUAGUAGGCAAUUUAAGUAUAAUAUCUUAGCAGGUACAGAAUUUAAUCUCAGACAAGACAUUAAAUGUUUUAUUUUGUACAAAUGGGGGGAUCAUGAAGAUUUUAUCCGUGAGUAUGCAGACUCGGAAUGGCAAAGAUAUAUCUUAAAUUAUCAGACAUAGAAUGAUAAGGUUGUAUGUCAAAAGGGAAACAGCCCAGAACAAGAGUUAAGGUUCCUAAAUUAUUCGUUGAGUGAAAUUAAGAAGGUUUUUAUUAAAGUCGACAAGGAGAUAGGCUUAGAAGCAGCCAUAAUUUUAUGACCUCGUAACAGAGCGCUUGUUAAGUUUUAAAAGCAUCGAAAAUUUAUCGGAUCUAAACAAUAUACCGAAACCUUGUCCAUAAUAAUUUAUAAUAAUAAUUUAUAUUAUAAUUAAAUGGGGUAGCAGAACGUUGAGCUGAAUUAUGAUUUUUAUUUUUUAAAUAAAAUUAUAACAAUUUAACUCAAGCGAUAAUGGUGACAUGAGUAACUAAAAGAAAAUUUUCCGCCUAAAGCUUAUGGAUGUAAUUAAGUAACGGCCUCUAAGUUUAUAUUAUCUAAAGAUUUAAACGAUGAGAUAAUCUUUAUUACUAAGGACGACAUUUUAAGUGAAAAAUGUACUGGAAAAAUAGUAAUAUAUUUAUAUACAUACAUGUGUAUAAAUGAAAAGUAACCGUACCUAGAAUCUGAAACAAGUAAGCUAGUAGAGAAUACGAAGGCGUAAAUGAGCUAACAAUCAUAAAGGAACUCGGCAAAUUGACUACCGUAACUUCGGGAUAAGGAGAGCUCAUUAUUCUUGAUUAAUAUCAAGUAAAGAGGAAGAAGCAUGAAAUAGUGUUGUACGACUGUUUAAUUAAAACACAGCACUUUGCUGAAAGAUUAAAAAUCUAAGUAUAGAGUGUGAUGUCUGCCCGGUGCCGGCUGGUUAACAGAUAUAAUUGGAUAUACUAAUAUCUGAUGUAGACGGAAACCCCGGUUAAAGGCGGCCUUAACGUGAGGGUCCUAAGGUAGCGAAAUGCCUUGGCCGUUAAAUGCGGUCUUGCAUGAAUGAUGUAACGAUACAACAGCUGUCUCUAUGAUUGACUCAGUGAAAUUGGAAUAGCUGUGCAGAUACAGUUUACCUCUAGUUAGACGAGAAGACCCUAUGCAGCUUUACUGUCACUAAUUAUAGAGUAUGAUAAACAAUUUUCAGUUUAUAAGGUAAUUGACUAGAUAACAAUGAGAAUCCUUUAUUUUUUUUUCAUAUGAAUGAAUUGAUUUAGGAUUACGGGAUGUUUUUAUUUUUAUAAACAACUCAUUUUAGUAAAUCAACCUAGUUCAGCUUAUUUUUAUAAUAUAAGUACCCUUUGGUGAGGAACUAUCGCUAGGGGACAGUUUAUGUGGGGCACAGACCCUGUAAAGAGUAAACAGGAGUGUCUAAUAAUUUAAAAUUAUUUUGUUUGCGAUUUAAGGUAGUUUAACUAUUUUUAAUCAUAUAAAAUUAUUUAUAUGUACAUUCUAUGCUUUGUCAUAAGUCUGUAUAUAUAUUUAAAAAAAGGUAGGAUUUUCACUAUAUAGAAAUUAGAGAUAAUUAGAAAUAUUAUGUACUUAGUGACUAAUGUUUUUUAACUAUUAAUAAUAGUUAUGUUUUAAAUAUCUAAAAAGCUCAACGGCUUAAUCUUGCCUUACUGUUUGAUUAUCAACAAAUCUUACAGUUGCGUAAGCAGGGCAUAGGAUCACAAGAUGCAACAAGGAAAGAUCUUGGAUUAUUGGAAAAGCUACGCUAGGGAUGUUUGUCCUUUAAUAUUUUAUUUGUAGUUGUGUGCUGUGUAGGCUAGGCACUAUGAAAUAAUUCAUAGAAGCAGCCAGCAUUGCUUAUUACAUGGUGAGCUAAAGCUAAAGCUAAAGCUUUAGCUAAGGCAGCUGUGUAAGUAAACAUGCCUACUGGGGAGUGUACUGCUAGGCACGCAUAUAAAAUACAGCAU